GAGACCGAACCAACAUCUGUACGCGUGACCUCUGGACAAUAGAAAGGACAGCAACCCUGAAACAGCAAGAUCCGGUCCAGGGUUCUCCAAGCAGUGAGGUGUCCAUCCCCUGCAGUGUCUCUCAGUCUGACCUCCUGACCUUUGACCUCACCUGGAGAUUCAACCAGAUAGUCACCAUCCUCACCUCCACCUACACCAAGGGCACACCUCAGAUGUAUGUUGAUGACCAGUGGAAGGAGCAGGUUCAGAGUUUGUCUGACUCUGGCAGCCUUCAGCUCCACAAGUUAACCAUGAUCCACCAGGGGACCUACAGCUGUGAACUCUCUACUGCCAGAGAAACAUAUAUAUAUAUAUAUAUAUAAAUAUUCAUGUCCUUAUGGUUACAGGCAUUUACUCAUACUAGCUGUUUGUGUGUCUGAAUCCUGCUAACUCACCCUAAAACUCACCUAUCCCCCUCCAGCAAAUACAAAUGUCAAAAUGAAAACGACCGGACUGUAAUACCACUUCAGACUGGAGAAGAAAGAGAGGAAGACAUAGAAAGACAACAACAAGGUGAAGGAGAAGAGGGGUUAGCCACARCAACCAUAGUAAUGCCWUGAAUCAACAUUAAGACAACUUUCCAUAAAAAACAAAACAUUAAUAACAUUCAGAGAACUUACCAAUGUUUUGAAUCUCACUGACAUCACGCCACAAUAAAACAUUUAUGUGUUUGCAUGA